AUGUCGUGGUUUGAAGGGAAGUGAGUUUUUUUGGAAGUAGUGGUCAAACCAAUUAGUCUUUAGAUCUGAAUAUUGGCACCUUUGUUGGCCACUAAGAGGUGGACACGCCUCUGAGGACACGAGGGGUUAAAAGCCGGAUUUCCCAGCAGGACUCUCUCUUUCCUGCUCUGCUUUCGGAGAGGGAGCGUCUCCUCCUCUCCCCUGCCGGCCUGGCUAGGCCGGAUGGGGGAGGGGAGCAAGGUGGGCCUGGCUUAGCAAGAGAGAAGGUGCCGAGCUGGAGCUGCUUGUGAGACCUGCAGUGUCUGCGAUCGCCUGUGCCUGACCUUGGUGGUGGGAGAUAAAGCUUUUAACUCUUUCUAAGGCAGAAGAGAGUUAUCCCUGGACGCUGUAUUCUCAUAGUUGGUGGUUUUAGAAGAGAGAGGACAGCCUGGGACCGAGAGGGUAAUGUGAGAUGAAAAGAAGCCCCUUCGAUGGCCGGAAUGAAGAGGAGUGGCUUAUGAGGCCGGACUUUUCUUGCAUAAUGAUAGCCAUAGACGGACCCUGGACCCUCCUGACUAUAAAUAAGACUGUGUUUGGGUGGAUGUUUUUGGCUCAAACCCAGAGACGUUUUGGCCUGCUUCGUGGAGCCCCCGGCCCCAGGGGUAAAUGGGGGGGACCUGAGUCCCAAAAUGAGAAGAUGGCUGGUUUUUGGUACUUGGCCAAAACAUCCUUAAAAAGAGCCCUGUUGCAGUGCAGGUCCAUGGACGGCAGUGAGAGUGCCGGACAUGGAAAGGAGGGUGUCACCCUGGCAGACCCUUCCAGGCAGUGCCAUGGGUGACGUGGGAACACGGGAUGGUGGACCUGUGUUUCCUGUGGGGGGGGGGUCUGUGGUGCGAGAGAGACUCCUCUCGUCCUGGAUGGAAUGUGGAUUGUCUGAAUUUUAAAGGAUGAUGGUUUGGAUUAGGAACCCAGGGUUGUUGGGGGAUUAAGCAAGUAGAUGAAGGUAAUGUGCUGGAGACAACUGAGUGAGCAUGUAUGGAAUGGAAAUUGGGGGGAGGAGAAGCAGUGUUUUGGGAGGUUUUCUCUUCUGCUUUUGGGUGGCUGGGUUUUUCUUUCCUUUUCUAUUGUCCAUUGUUAUGUAAUAUAAUAAAUUGUCUGUCUGUUUCAAGAAGUAGGCCUGCUCUGCUCUGUUCUUGACCACAUCUCACAGGAGUUCAUUAGGUAAAAUAUACCCUCAUGGGUGCAUUGGCAUUUUGUCAAAUGUCAACCCAUGACAUUUUUGGUUCCCUGACCGGGAAUCGAGAUUUUGUAAGAUGAAAACUGUGAGAUGGGAUCAAAGAGGAACAAGAGCAAAGCAUGAAAUAGGUGAUAACAUAAAUGUAUGAAUGUAAUGUUGGUGUUAGUUUAUAAAUAUGUGUCCUCAGAGGGCGAGGGGUGGAGUGUCGUGGUUUGAAGGGAAGUGAGUUUUUUUGGAAGUAGUGGUCAAACCAAUUAGUCUUUAGAUCUGAAUAUUGGCACCUUUGUUGGCCACUAAGAGGUGGACACGCCUCUGAGGACACGAGGGGUUAAAAGCCGGAUUUCCCAGCAGGACUCUCUCUUUCCUGCUCUGCUUUCGGAGAGGGAGCGUCUCCUCCUCUCCCCUGCCGGCCUGGCUAGGCCGGAUGGGGGAGGGGAGCAAGGUGGGCCUGGCUUAGCAAGGUGGGCCUUGGGGUGGGGAACAGAGGGAGCUGGAGUGGAGCUGGUCCAGCUUCCAUCUAGAAUGGAGGGGUGGAGGGAGAACUUUGGAGGUGCCUUCCGUCCCCCCUCCCUGUCCCAUCCCGUUCCCCCCCCCCUUCCCCCCCCCCGGUCCCGUCUCUCUCCUCCCCCCACAGAGAGAAGGUGCCGAGCUGGAGCUGCUUGUGAGACCUGCAGUGUCUGCGAUCGCCUGUGCCUGACCUUGGUGGUGGGAGAUAAAGCUUUUAACUCUUUCUAAGGCAGAAGAGAGUUAUCCCUGGACGCUGUAUUCUCAUAGUUGGUGGUUUUAGAAGAGAGAGGACAGCCUGGGACCGAGAGGGUAAUGUGAGAUGAAAAGAAGCCCCUUCGAUGGCCGGAAUGAAGAGGAGUGGCUUAUGAGGCCGGACUUUUCUUGCAUAAUGAUAGCCAUAGACGGACCCUGGACCCUCCUGACUAUAAAUAAGACUGUGUUUGGGUGGAUGUUUUUGGCUCAAACCCAGAGACGUUUUGGCCUGCUUCGUGGAGCCCCCGGCCCCAGGGGUAAAUGGGGGGGGACCUGAGUCCCAAAAUGAGAAGAUGGCUGGUUUUUGGUACUUGGCCAAAACAUCCUUAAAAAGAGCCCUGUUGCAGUGCAGGUCCAUGGACGGCAGUGAGAGUGCCGGACAUGGAAAGGAGGGUGUCACCCUGGCAGACCCUUCCAGGCAGUGCCAUGGGUGACGUGGGAACACGGGAUGGUGGACCUGUGUUUCCUGUGGGGGGGGGGGUCUGUGGUGCGAGAGAGACUCCUCUCGUCCUGGAUGGAAUGUGGAUUGUCUGAAUUUUAAAGGAUGAUGGUUUGGAUUAGGAACCCAGGGUUGUUGGGGGAUUAAGCAAGUAGAUGAAGGUAAUGUGCUGGAGACAACUGAGUGAGCAUGUAUGGAAUGGAAAUUGGGGGGAGGAGAAGCAGUGUUUUGGGAGGUUUUCUCUUCUGCUUUUGGGUGGCUGGGUUUUUCUUUCCUUUUCUAUUGUCCAUUGUUAUGUAAUAUAAUAAAUUGUCUGUCUGUUUCAAGAA